CGCGUGUGGAACCUGCCUUUCAGAGGGGGACAACAGCUGGAAACGGCUGCUAAUACCGCAUAACACAUAGGUGUCGCAUGGCAUUUAUGUCAAAGAUUUAUCGCUGAGAGAUGGCCUCGCGUCUGAUUAGCUAGUUGGUAGGGUAACGGCCUACCAAGGCGACGAUCAGUAGCCGGACUGAGAGGUUGGCCGGCCACAUUGGGACUGAGAUACGGCCCAGACUCCUACGGGAGGCAGCAG
rnacentral:rRNA from 1 species